rnacentral:rRNA from 1 species
AAUGGGUCAGCGACUUAUAUUCUGUAGCAAGGUUAACCGAAUAGGGGAGCCGAAGGGAAACCGAGUCUUAACUGGGCGUUAAGUUGCAGGGUAUAGACCCGAAACCCGGUGAUCUAGCCAUGGGCAGGUUGAAGGUUGGGUAACACUAACUGGAGGACCGAACCGACUAAUGUUGAAAAAUUAGCGGAUGACUUGUGGCUGGGGGUGAAAGGCCAAUCAAACCGGGAGAUAGCUGGUUCUCCCCGAAAGCUAUUUAGGUAGCGCCUCGUGAAUUCAUCUCCGGGGGUAGAGCACUGUUUCGGCAAGGGGGUCAUCCCGACUUACCAACCCGAUGCAAACUGCGAAUACCGGAGAAUGUUAUCACGGGAGACACACGGCGGGUGCUAACGUCCGUCGUGAAGAGGGAAACAACCCAGACCGCCAGCUAAGGUCCCAAAGUCAUGGUUAAGUGGGAAACGAUGUGGGAAGGCCCAGACAGCCAGGAUGUUGGCUUAGAAGCAGCCAUCAUUUAAAGAAAGCGUAAUAGCUCACUGGUCGAGUCGGCCUGCGCGGAAGAUGUAACGGGGCUAAACCAUGCACCGAAGCUGCGGCAGCGACGCUUAUGCGUUGUUGGGUAGGGGAGCGUUCUGUAAGCCUGUGAAGGUGUGCUGUGAGGCAUGCUGGAGGUAUCAGAAGUGCGAAUGCUGACAUAAGUAACGAUAAAGCGGGUGAAAAGCCCGCUCGCCGGAAGACCAAGGGUUCCUGUCCAACGUUAAUCGGGGCAGGGUGAGUCGACCCCUAAGGCGAGGCCGAAAGGCGUAGUCGAUGGGAAACAGGUUAAUAUUCCUGUACUUGGUGUUACUGCGAAGGGGGGACGGAGAAGGCUAUGUUGGCCGGGCGACGGUUGUCCCGGUUUAAGCGUGUAGGCUGGUUUUCCAGGCAAAUCCGGAAAAUCAAGGCUGAGGCGUGAUGACGAGGCACUACGGUGCUGAAGCAACAAAUGCCCUGCUUCCAGGAAAAGCCUCUAAGCAUCAGGUAACAUCAAAUCGUACCCCAAACCGACACAGGUGGUCAGGUAGAGAAUACCAAGGCGCUUGAGAGAACUCGGGUGAAGGAACUAGGCAAAAUGGUGCCGUAACUUCGGGAGAAGGCACGCUGAUAUGUAGGUGAAGUCCCUUGCGGAUGGAGCUGAAAUCAGUCGAAGAUACCAGCUGGCUGCAACUGUUUAUUAAAAACACAGCACUGUGCAAACACGAAAGUGGACGUAUACGGUGUGACGCCUGCCCGGUGCCGGAAGGUUAAUUGAUGGGGUCAGCGCAAGCGAAGCUCUUGAUCGAAGCCCCGGUAAACGGCGGCCGUAACUAUAACGGUCCUAAGGUAGCGAAAUUCCUUGUCGGGUAAGUUCCGACCUGCACGAAUGGCGUAAUGAUGGCCAGGCUGUCUCCACCCGAGACUCAGUGAAAUUGAACUCGCUGUGAAGAUGCAGUGUACCCGCGGCA